rnacentral:rRNA from 1 species
AGUGAACGCUGGCGGUAGGCCUAACACAUGCAAGUCGAACGGCAGCACAGUAAGAGCUUGCUCUUACGGGUGGCGAGUGGCGGACGGGUGAGGAAUACAUCGGAAUCUACUUUUUCGUGGGGGAUAACGUAGGGAAACUUACGCUAAUACCGCAUACGACCUACGGGUGAAAGCAGGGGAUCUUCGGACCUUGCGCGAUUGAAUUAGCCGAUGUCGGAUUAGCUAGUUGGCGGGGUAAAGGCCCACCAAGGCGACGAUCCGUAGCUGGUCUGAGAGGAUGAUCAGCCACACUGGAACUGAGACACGGUCCAGACUCCUACGGGAGGCAGCAGUGGGGAAUAUUGGACAAUGGGCGCAAGCCUGAUCCGGCCAUACCGCGUGGGUGAAGAAGGCCUUCGGGUUGUAAAGCCCUUUUGUUGGGAAAGAAAAGCAGCAGGUUAAUACCCCGCUGUUCUGACGGUACCCAAAGAAUAAGCACCGGCUAACUUCGUG